CCUACGGGGGGCAGCAGUGGGGAAUAUUGGACAAUGGGCGAAAGCCUGAUCCAGCGACGCCGCGUGUGUGAAGAAGGCCUGCGGGUUGUAAAGCACUUUCGAUGGGAACGAAAUGUGCCGGGCUAAUACCCCGGCAAGCUGACGUUACUCAAUGAAGAAGCACCGGCUAACUCUGUGCCAGCAGCCGCGGUAAUACAGAGGGUGCGAGCGUUAAUCGGAAUUACUGGGCGUAAAGCGCACGUAGGUGGCGACGUAAGUCGGGUGUGAAAGCCCCGGGCUCAACCUGGGAAUUGCAUUCGAGACUGCAUUGCUGGAGUACGGAAGAGGAAGGCGGAAUUCCCGGUGUAGCGGUGAAAUGCGUAGAUAUCGGGAGGAACAUCAGUGGCGAAGGCGGCCUUCUGGUCCAGUACUGACACUCAAGUGCGAAAGCGUGGGGAGC
rnacentral:rRNA from 1 species